rnacentral:rRNA from 1 species
CGACUCUAGCGAGACGUGCCGGUAUAAACCGGAGGAAGUGGGGAGUGACGUCAAAUCAUCAUGCCCUUAUGACCUGGGCUACACACGUGCUACAAUGGUUGGUACAACGAGUUGCGAGUCGGUGACGGCGAGCUAAUCUCUUAAAGCCAAUCUCAGUUCGGAUUGUAGGCUGCAACCUCGCCUACAUGAAGUCGGAAUCGCUAGUAAUCGCGGAUCAGCACGCCGCGGUGAAUACGUUCCCGGGCCUU